CUGGCAGCCAAACCUGGCCUUAAAGCUAAAGGUUAAGUCUCCAAUUUUAUUUAAAUAAUGAACUGGCUGUGCUGAGUUUUUCCAAGUGAUACCUAGUGUUAACUGAACUGCUAAGCGAACCAAAUCAAAAAGUAUAUUAACUGGCACUGACCUCCCCAGCAUCCACCAGACUGCCAAAGGAAACACACACAAACACUCACACACACACUAAUCCACCCUGACAAGAUGCUGAUCAGAUAGAGCAGAGUGUUGCCACAUACUUCAGAUAGAUAUGCAGGUCCUGUCAGACUCAUGUUUGUGUGAGUGAGUCCUCAGGCUGGAUCUUAUAUAACUCCUGACAGGCAGAGACAGACAGUCGCAGAGAUGGGGUUUGAUGUACCUCAGGGCUGUACAAUCCAUCCUUUCUGAUUCCUGCUUGUCAGAGCUGAGGUUGACAGAGCUUACCUAUAUUUUAAGCAUUUGUCUGACACUUUCACCCACAUGUAUGCUGAGUUGGCAGGCAGGGGUCCCAGCAAGGACACAGACGUGCUAAGAAAAACGUCCAACUCAAGAGGAGCUGUCAUUUUACUGCUUUAUUGACAAAGAGGUUUGCACCACUAUUGAAUUUGACUGAAGGUUGUAAUCUGUAAAUAAAGCAGCUAUACACGAGUGGGAGUGGACGAACCUCUGAGGAAUUGAAAACUUGUGGUGAAAAUGCGAGAGAAAAGGUCACCGGGAAAGAGGAUCUCCUCACACACAAAAGGAGAGCAACCUGUUUUCAUGGGAACUGGAGCAGCGGUGGGGAUGUUCUGUUUUGUUUGCAGGGCCUAGGGUGCAUUGUCAAAACCACUGUGUAAACUUCCUCCAAAUCUUAAAUGAUACUGCGAUCUGGUCGACAUUUAAACAUAAUCACAGCUGGGUAAAAAGCAAAGAAGGUGCCAUUUUAGGAUGGUUCUUGAGAUCAGAUUUUGGUGAUUUCCAUGCCUUCAACUGCUUUAAAACCUGAUUAAAAAAACCCCCUGAAAAAUCCACGGACACCAAUGACAAGUUUUUUUCUUUCCUGAAAGAAAUAUGUGUUUAUGUUCCCAACUAAAGCGACUUCCCCUGUGUUAUGAAAAUGUUGAUCCGGGAUUACAGCUCAUCUCUGUUGGGCCAUAUCAGCGGCCACCGGCAGUCAUUUUAAUAAACAUACAAAGGAAGCGACGGAGAAUUAACUUCACCACAUGAACAGAUUGCAGACUUAAAUAAGACUCUCCUCCAUUUAUCAACACUGCGUUGCCAUGGAAAUGCUUGCCGGGGCCAAAAGUGAGCAGAUGGCCCGAGAAAUCGAUGGCUGCGACUCAAACUAGCUGAUCCGCUGAUUUGCUUCAGACUCGGGGGGAGAGAGUUUGGACUCGCUCUCAGCUUGUGUGAGGGUGUUUGUGUGUGUGUGUAUUUUUGCAUUGUAAGAUAUGGGGCAAACAUGCACAGACCUGCCACUAUCACGCAGUACAAGGGCUUGUUAUCUCUCUCUCUCUCUCUCUGACAAGUCAGACAUUCCCAGUAGUGUAAAGAGUGGGUGUGACAUGCCUGCUAGCAAAUGCAGGUGAGCUGAAUUAAGAAUUUGUGGUUGCUAAGAAAUCAGUGGAUAUAGGCCUGCUUACUUGUUAAAAACUGUAAUAUUAUUUUUAGUUUCAACAAGCACAAAACCAUUUAACUAACCUGUGCUGACGUUAGACGUUGCUUAGUGAUUUCAGAACUGUGUGACUCUGUACAUUACUUCGUGUUGUGAUUUUAUUGGGCUGAAAGUUGCCAGUUAACAGGUUCACAGACCCAGGAUGUGGUUGGAAGGAGAGUACAGGUGAUAAGAACAAGGAGGUACUGAGAUGAAACAUUAUCCUGUUGUACCCAAACAAAAAAGAGAAUGGAGAUCUUAACGUAUACCGUGCUGUUGAUCCACUUCGGUCAACUGCUGUCAUGGGAAAUUAAGCUGAGACACUGUUUUCACAAACAUACAUGUGAAAAAGUUGUUUGAAAAAUGGAAAAAAAGCAAACCAAUCCAAUAAGAACAUUUUUUGAAUGCAUUUUAACAUCCAUGCUCUUAUAUAAUCUUAUAUAAUCUGCUCUCAACACCACCAUUAAAAUGCUUUUUUCCCCUGUUCUGUUUAUUAUUUCACUAAUACUGUGGGGCUUUUAUUUUGGAAGCUGCUGCACAAAUAAAGAUUAAUCUCAUUGUU